rnacentral:rRNA from 1 species
GAUGAACGCUGGCGGCGUGCCUAAUACAUGCAAGUCGAGCGAACGGACGAGAAGCUUGCUUCUCUGCUGUUAGCGGCGGACGGGUGAGUAACACGUGGAUAACCUACCUAUAAGACUGGGAUAACUUCGGGAAACCGGAGCUAAUACCGGAUGAUAUUUUGAACCGCAUGGUUCAACAGUGAAAGACGGUCUUGCUGUCACUUAUAGAUGGAUCCGCGGUGCAUUAGCUAGUUGGUAAGGUAACGGCUUACCAAGGCAACGAUGCAUAGCCGACCUGAGAGGGUGAUCGGCCACACUGGAACUGAGACACGGUCCAGACUCCUACGGGAGGCAGCAGUAGGGAAUCUUCCGCAAUGGGCGAAAGCCUGACGGAGCAACGCCGCGUGAGUGAUGAAGGUCUUCGGAUCGUAAAACUCUGUUAUUAGGGAAGAACAUAUGUGUAAGUAACUGUGCACAUCUUGACGGUACCUAAUCAGAAAGCCACGGCUAACUACGUG